rnacentral:rRNA from 1 species
UGAGUAACCUGCCCUUCACUCUGGGAUAACUCCGGGAAACCGGGGCUAAUACUGGAUAUGACUCGAACAGGCAUCUGUUUCGGGUGGAAAGAUUUAUUGGUGGAGGAUAGACUCGCGGCCUAUCAGCUUGUUGGUGAGGUAAUGGCUCACCAAGGCGACGACGGGUAGCCGGCCUGAGAGGGCGAUCGGCCACACUGGGACUGAGACACGGUCCAGACUCCGUACGGGAGCA